CGUGCAGGUGCUGGUGUCGUUACUAGCCGAUGAUUCUUCCGCUGUCAGGGAGGCCUCCAUGGCCUCACUCAAAGACAUUGCUGCUCUGGAUCCUCUUUUAGUUCUCGAGUGCUGUGCAGUGGUUUCACGAGGAGGACGUCGGCGAUUCGGAAACAUGGCUGUUGUUUUCCAAGUGAUGGCAUUUGGAGUUCGCUCUCUGGACGAAAGAGAAGUCGAUGAUUCUUUCA